UACGGAGGAUCCGAGCGUUAUCCGGAUUUAUUGGGUUUAAAGGGUGCGCAGGCGGGGGAUUAAGUCGGCGGUGAAAUUUUGCAGCUCAACUGUAAAAGUGCCUUCGAAACUGGUUUCCUUGAGUAUGGAUGAAGUAGGCGGAAUUUGUGGUGUAGCGGUGAAAUGCAUAGAUAUCACGAGGAACUCCGAUUGCGCAGGCAGCUUACUAAACUACUACUGACGCUCAGGCACGAAGGCGUGGGGAUCAAACAGGAUUAGAUACCCUGGUAGU
rnacentral:rRNA from 1 species